ensembl:lncRNA
UGGCUCUAAAAGAUCCUGAUAUCACACAUUCCACAAUGAAAGAGAAACUUCUGCAAACUACACAUGAGUUACUGCCAUCACUGAACCAGCAGGAUGGCGAGACUUCACAAACUCACAUGAACACACUGGACUUGCCUUCAAACAACAAAAGCUGCAGCCUAAACACAUCAGUAUUCAGGAGCUCAAACUGAGACCUGCCAAACCUCCUGUGACCGGGACAGAACCGAAUCCAUCCGUCUUCCUCCAGCUUUAAUGACUACAUGUUCCUGUGAAGGACUGGAGGACCAGCGGCCGGCUCUCAUCCACACAGAAACCAAACUUCAGCUGUGUGAUUGCCUGUCAGCGCAUGUUCUGAGCCACUGCAUCGAACGGCACCAUGGGACUCCAGCGGCGGGACAAACGCCCAGGAGUAUUGAGGAAGUGUGCACUACUCAGUAGUCACUAUACUGGCGUGUAAAUGAAACUGGAGGGAGGCGUGUUCUUCCAUGUUUUGUUCUAGCAGGGCAAGGUCCAUCACGAUUUCAACAGUCACGGGACAGUGCCCCCUCAAUUCACCAUACGACACCCAUCAGGAUACACAUCAUGAUUCAAGACAUCCCGAUGCAUUACAGUGUAACUGGAUCAUGACUGAGUGUGUCUGCAGCUCCUCAGACCUGCUUCUGCAGCACACACAAGCGGCAUCUGACACCGACAGCAUCAGCACAGCUGUUCUUCAUUUCGUGGAUGAACCACAUGUGACCCUAAGUAGAACUGACUUCAUACAUCCACAAAAAAAUCACCUAAACAUUAACGCCAAACACAAUGAAGAAAAGUGACGUUAGUGAAGAGAAAGAUCUCAGACACAUUAUCUGACGAAGGACAGUUAGACAUUCAUAAACUUCAGUGUAAAACUCUGGCAGCUGCAGCUCUUAUGCUCAGUGUGAUGAAGAACAUCUGGAGGUGUUUGCAGGCUGAGGCCCAUCAUUCCUCAAGCGUGUCUCAUUGACUGCUAAGAGCCCAGAUGACGAGUAAACACAGCCAAACCAAGAAACAUUUCACCCGGUCUGAACCUCGCUGGACUCACC